rnacentral:rRNA from 1 species
AUUGAACGCUGGCGGCAUGCUUUACACAUGCAAGUCGAACGGUAACAGGCCGCAAGGUGCUGACGAGUGGCGAACGGGUGAGUAAUGCAUCGGAACGUGCCCAGUCGUGGGGGAUAACGCAGCGAAAGCUGUGCUAAUACCGCAUACGAUCUAUGGAUGAAAGCGGGGGACCGUAAGGCCUCGCGCGAUUGGAGCGGCCGAUGUCAGAUUAGGUAGUUGGUGGGGUAAAGGCUCACCAAGCCAACGAUCUGUAGCUGGUCUGAGAGGACGACCAGCCACACUGGGACUGAGACACGGUCCAGACUCCUACGGGAGGCAGCAGUGGGGAAUUUUGGACAAUGGGCGCAAGCCUGAUCCAGCAAUGACGCGUGCAGGAAGAAGGCCUUCGGGUUGUAAACUGCUUUUGUACGGAACGAAAAGGUUUGGGUUAAUACCCUGGGCCGAUGACGGUACCGUAAGAAUAAGCACCGGCUAACUACGUGCCAGCCGCCGCAGUAA